CCUACGGGAGGCAGCAGUGAGGAAUAUUGGUCAAUGGACGAGAGUCUGAACCAGCCAAGUAGCGUGAAGGAUGACUGCCCUAUGGGUUGUAAACUUCUUUUAUAUGGGAAUAAAACGUUCCACGUGUGGGAUUUUGUAUGUACCAUAUGAAUAAGGAUCGGCUAACUCCGUGCCAGCAGCCGCGGUAAUACGGAGGAUCCGAGCGUUAUCCGGAUUUAUUGGGUUUAAAGGGAGCGUAGGUGGAUUGUUAAGUCAGUUGUGAAAGUUUGCGGCUCAACCGUAAAAUUGCAGUUGAAACUGGCAGUCUUGAGUACAGUAGAGGUGGGCGGAAUUCGUGGUGUAGCGGUGAAAUGCUUAGAUAUCACGAAGAACUCCGAUUGCGAAGGCAGUUCACUGGACUGCAGCUGACACUGAGGCUCGAAAGUGUGGGUAUCAAACAGGAUUAGAUACCCCUGUAGUC
rnacentral:rRNA from 1 species